rnacentral:tRNA from 1 species
GGACCUGUGGCGCAGCGGUAGCGCGUGUGAUUCCAGUCUUUUCGGGACAUCCACAAGGUCGUCCGUUCAAAUCGGGCCAGGUUCA